CACACUUUCAUCUUCCAAGGAAGUUCGAUCUGUUUUUUCCUUAAAGAUGGCUUGUUCAAGGUCAUGUAAGCAAGUUCAAAAAUUGAAUAAAUCUGUAUGGAAUGUGAAUUCUACCAUUUCAUCAAGCACUUUGCUUGAGAGUGCACAUGCACUACAUUUAACGAAAAACAUAAUUGAUCAUAACCUUCCAAAUUCAGCCACCAGUUUCCUUUAUGCCACUGAGAUAUCUGACACUGGAAAGAAUGAAGGCCUGAUUGAUGGAUGGGAUCUGGUAGAACAUCCCACUUUCCCCCCUCCGCCAUCACAAACCGAAGAUAAUGAACAUGGCUCGAGUCCAAUGUUC
rnacentral:misc_RNA from 1 species